AUUGAACGCUGGCGGCAGGCCUAACACAUGCAAGUCGAGCGGAGCGGCGGACGGGUGAGUAAUACCUAGGCAUCUGCCUGGUAGUGGGGGAUAACGUUCGGAAAUGGACGCUAAUACCGCAUACUUUCAGUUGAGCCUAGGUCGGACUAGCCAGUUGGUGCGGUAAUGGCUUACCAGGGCCACGAUCCGUAACUGGUCUGGGGGGAUGAUCAGUCACACGGGAACUGGAACACGGUCCGAAAUCCUACGGGAGGCAGCAGUGGGGAAUAUUGGACAAUGGGGGAAGGCCUAAUCCGUCCAUGCCGCGUGUGUGAAGAAGGUCUUCGGAUUGAAAAGCACUUUAAGUUGGGAGGCGGUACCGGCAGAAUAAGCACCGGCUAACUCUGUGCCAGCAGCCGCGGUAAUAC
rnacentral:rRNA from 1 species